AGUGAACGCUGGCGGUAGGCCUAACACAUGCAAGUCGAACGGCAGCACAGAGGAGCUUGCUCCUUGGGUGGCGAGUGGCGGACGGGUGAGGAAUACAUCGGAAUCUACUCUGUCGUGGGGGAUAACGUAGGGAAACUUACGCUAAUACCGCAUACGACCUACGGGUGAAAGCAGGGGAUCUUCGGACCUUGCGCGACUGAAUGAGCCGAUGUCGGAUUAGCUAGUUGGCGGGGUAAAGGCCCACCAAGGCGACGAUCCGUAGCUGGUCUGAGAGGAUGAUCAGCCACACUGGACCUGAGCCACGGUCCAGACUCCUACGGGAGGCAGCAGUGGGGAAUAUUGGACAAUGGGCGCAAGCCUGAUCCAGCCAUACCGCGUGGGUGAAGAAGGCCUUCGGGUUGUAACGCCCUUUUGUUGGGAAAGAAAUCCCUCUUCUUAAUACCCGGGUGGGAUGACGGUACCCAAAGAAUAAGCACCGGCUAACUUCGUGCCAGCCGCCGCCGUAC
rnacentral:rRNA from 1 species